rnacentral:rRNA from 1 species
GACGAACGCUGGCGGCGUGCUUAACACAUGCAAGUCGAACGGAAAGGCCCUGCUUGCAGGGUACUCGAGUGGCGAACGGGUGAGUAACACGUGGGUGAUCUGCCCUGCACUUCGGGAUAAGCCUGGGAAACUGGGUCUAAUACCGGAUAGGAGCCAUUUUUAGUGUGAUGGUUGGAAAGUUUUUUCGGUGUAGGAUGAGAUCGCGGCCUAUCAGCUUGUUGGUGGGGUAAUGGCCUACCAAGGCGGCGACGGGUAGCCGGCCUGAGAGGGUGGACGGCCACAUUGGGACUGAGAUACGGCCCAGACUCCUACGGGAGGCAGCAGUGGGGAAUAUUGCACAAUGGGCGCAAGCCUGAUGCAGCGACGCCGCGUGGGGGAUGACGGCCUUCGGGUUGUAAACUCCUUUCGCUAGGGACGAAGCUUUUUGCGACGGUACCUAGAUAAGAAGCACAGGCUAACUACGUG